AAGAACACGAUAUGUUCCAUUAGAUGUUUGAGAAAUUUUAUUUUUUUCCAUCAAUUGCUGAAGUGUUUUAUGCACAUCUUGAAUAGUAACUUCUAAAAUAAGACCAAUGAUUUUUGUUAGUGAGAAAAAGAAAGACACAAAUGAUCUUACUUAAUCCACGCCCAAUUAAAUGAGCAAGAAGUUCUUCCGCAGACAUACCAUUUGGACGAAAACUGGACAUAUUCUUUAAUGUUUCAACUAAAUCCAUUGACAAAGACACCAAACUAGAGGAGUCAAUCAAAUCAUAUGAUCCGGGAAAUAUCGAUCCACCAUGCACUAAGGAAUCGAAUGGAUGGGAUAGCAAAUGUUUUGAAGUUUGUUUCUCUUCGGUUUUUUUAAUAAGUUUUACAAUAGGUUUAGGUGUGACACUUAAUGAUUGAUCUUAGACAGUGAAGGUUUACAGAAAAGUUUUGUUACUUUUUGAAAGAAAAGAAGUUUACCUGAAGCCAUCCACUGUGGUGUGGUAUUCGAUAUGGAAAGGUCAUCCGCUUGAAAUUUUUGGGGUACCUUCAAACUAUUGAAAAAAUAAUAUCAUGAUAAAAAAUUUCGUCAUUCAGAUCAAGACGAGCGACAAAGAAAGCAGACACAUGGGGUUCUAAAUGCCCAAAAUUCCUUCAUCCAAGGAGAAGGGUCAUUAUUAGGCAGUUCUGUAUGGCGAUAGGGUAGCCAGCCUACUUGAAUGAUGCCUAAUUGAAAAUAUAGAAACAAUCAUUGUAUAAAAAUUUUGUGAACCAGUCAAAAGAACAAAGUUACGUCUCAAUUGUGUGUAAGCAC